rnacentral:tRNA from 1 species
GGGGCUGUGGCGCAGCUGGUAGCGCACUUGACUGGCAGUCAAGGGGUCAGGGGUUCGAAUCCCCUCAGCUGCA